rnacentral:sRNA from 1 species
CUUUUCAAAUAUUAGUAUGUCUAUAAUCAAGUAAUUGAAGAGCUUCAACACUUGAAUGUGCCUGAGGUGUCUAACCUUCCAUUCUUGCGUGACCGUGAGUCUGGCGAUGAAUUUGUCAUUCGAAAGUAUGAAGAUUCUACGGGCACAUAUUUGUCAACAACUAAGACUAAGGAAAUAGCAUAAGGAAGACUUAAUCCUGAAACCCACGAAAAAUUUACACACGUGGAAGUGGAAGAAACAGAUGACGAAGAAACUACUUAGACAAAAGUAU